rnacentral:rRNA from 1 species
GACGAACGCUGGCGGCGUGCUUAAUACAUGCAAGUCAACUGAACUUGAGGUAGCAAUAUCACAAGAGAGGUGGCGCACGGGUGAGUAACACGUAGGUAAUCUGCCUUUAGGUCUGACAUAAUUCCGCGAAAGCGGGACUAAUAUCAGAUGAUGCAGCGGCUCGACAUCGAGACAGUUGUUAAACCUUCGGGGCCUAAAGAUGAGCCUGCGUCUGAUUAGGUAGUUGGCGGAGUAAAAGCCCACCAAGCCUGCGAUCAGUAGCUGGUCUGAGAGGAUGAUCAGCCACACUGGAACUGAGACACGGUCCAGACUCCUACGGGA